GCCCCCGUUGUCUAAUGGUUAUGACGUCAGACUUCUACGUUCCAGCGUAAACAAUUAAUCUGGAGGUUGCGGGUUCGAGUCCCGCCGGGGGUU